rnacentral:lncRNA from 1 species
GUCUCUCUGUAUUCUUUCUUCCAAAGAGUCUUCCUGAAAUGAAACAUUAAGAAACUCUGAAACUAAAACUUUUCUUUCCCUACGAUGUCGGCAGAGAAGUUUAAAAUGCAAGUAACUGCCAGACAGUUUUGAUCAAGGCAGUCUACACCAAAGCAAAAAGCCAUUGUAACAAAUGCACAAUUAACGAGAAAAUUGCCGAUUGUCUGAUUUCUUGCUGAUGUGCUUGAAGAUUUUAGCUUUGUGGACGCUCUUUGGUUUCUGGUAACCAAAUCCUCCACCUCCACCUCUUUUCUGUAGUCUUCUGCCUUGGUUGCUGUUCACAUUGAGGUCAACAUACGGAGGGACUUUAAAGCCAAAUGAGAGGCUGACUUUGUUAAGAUCCAGGUUACCCACGUUAUAGAUCUGCUUCAGAGAAUGGGAGUCAUAAGCUCUAAUGUAAGCUUUGUAUGCUUCCUGGGCUGACUUGUGAAGGAAGUAGUUCUUCUCAAUCAGUUUCUCCAGCUGAGACUGGAUAUCUGAAAUCUUUGACCAGGAAAAUUCAAAUUCACUGAGUGGUACCCUGGCUUGUUUCAGGUAACGAAGAAAGCCCAGUUCUUCUGGACGUAAAAUGAGCAGAGCAUGUCCUCUACCAUUUAUACCUCUGGCAGUUCUACCAACACGAUGAAUAUACUCUUUUGGAUCAUCUGGAGGGUCAUACUGG